AUGGGGUGCUCUAAAACCCUAGUAGCUGGCCUGUUCGCCAUGCUGUUCCUAGCUCCGGCCGUCCUGGCCACCGACCCUGAUCCUCUCCAGGAUUUCUGUGUCGCUGACCUCGACGGCAAGGCGGUCUCGGUGAAUGGGCACACGUGCAAGCCCAUGUCGGAGGCCGGCGACGACUUCCUCUUCUCGUCCAAGUUGGCCAAGGCCGGCAACACGUCCACCCCAAACGGCUCGGUUGUGACGGAGCUCGAUAUCCUUGACUCCGGGAACAAGCUCUACUCGAGGGUGGUGCGCGCCGGAGAGACGUUCCUCAUCCCGCGGGGCCUCAUGCACUUCCAGUUCAACGUCGGUAAGACCGAGGCCUCCAUGGUCGUCUCCUUCAACAGCCAGAACCCCGGCAUCGUCUUCGUGCCACUCACGCUCUUCGGCUCCAACCCGCCCAUCCCGACGCCGGUGCUCACCAAGGCGCUCCGGGUAGAGGCCGGGGUCGUGGAACUUCUCAAGUCCAAGUUUGCCGCUGGGUUUUAA
rnacentral:rRNA from 1 species